rnacentral:rRNA from 1 species
CCUACGGGAGGCUGCAGUGGGGAAUAUUGGGCAAUGGAGGAAACUCUGACCCAGCAACGCCGCGUGAAUGAUGAAGGUCCUCGGAUUUGUAAGCUCCUUUCUUAGGGAAGUAGAACGAGACGCUACUUCCGGAAUAAGCCUCGGCUAACAACGUGCCUGCAGCAGCGGCAAUACGGAGGCGGCAAGCGUUAUCCGGAUUCAAUGGGGGUAAGGGGUGCGUAGGUGGGUUGGUAAGUUGGUUGCGAAACUCCGGGGCUCAACCGCGGCACUACAACAAACACUGUUGGACUUGAGUUCAGGGGGGGCAAAUGGAAUUCGUGGUGUAGCGGUGGAAUGCGUAGAUAUUAGGAGGAACACCAGUGGCGAAGGCGAGUUGCUGGACUGUAACUGACACUGAGGCACGAAAGCGUGGGGAGCAAACAGGAUUAGAUACCCUAGUAGUC